rnacentral:lncRNA from 1 species
CCCAUGCCACACCAUGGACAUCCCCAUGCCUCACUCCCUGCAUACACACAAAAAACUCUUAUUUACAUUAAAUGUUUUUGGGGUAAAAUAAUACUAAAAGAAAUUAUUAAUUGAAAAUAAUAAACUUUACAAAGCAAAUUAAUUGAUUACGUGAAAUUUAUUCUAAUCUUUAAAAUAUAAUAAUGAAAAAUAUAUUUUUAAAAAAAAUUGUCCUAAGCCAUUGUACCCAAGUCCUUUACUGGGAAUUCAUUGUAUUUAUUUAUUUAUUUUUACUGUAAAUAAGAGUUUUAUUAUGUGUGUGCAAGAGUGUGUGGCAUAAGGGGUGUCCACACAACAAAAGAGGGGUGUCCACCUAGCAAUUUUGUAUAUAUACAUAGAUGUGUAUAUGAUAAGACAUACUUGAUGUAAUGUAACAAAUUUGAUCUCAAAUAU